UCGAGCGCACUGGCCCAACUGAUAUGACGUGCUUGCACUGAAUUGACGUUGGAUUACCAGUGAGCGGCGGACGGGUGAGUAACACGUGGGCAACCUGCCCUGAAGCGGGGGAUAACAUCUGGAAACAGGUGCUAAUACCGCAUAACAACGAAAACCACAUGGUUUUCGUUUCAAAGAUGGUUUCGGCUAUCACUUCAGGAUGGGCCCGCGGUGCAUUAGCUAGUUGGUAAGGUAACGGCUUACCAAGGCGAUGAUGCAUAGCCGAGUUGAGAGACUGAUCGGCCACAAUGGAACUGAGACACGGUCCAUACUCCUACGGGAGGCAGCAGUAGGGAAUCUUCCACAAUGGGCGCAAGCCUGAUGGAGCAACACCGCGUGAGUGAAGAAGGGUUUCGGCUCGUAAAGCUCUGUUGUUGGAGAAGAACGUGCGUGAGAGUAACUGUUCACGCAGUGACGGUAUCCAACCAGAAAGUCACGGCUAACUACGUGCCAGCAGCCGCGGUAAUACGUAGGUGGCAAGCGUUAUCCGGAUUUAUUGGGCGUAAAGCGAGCGCAGGCGGUUGCUUAGGUCUGAUGUGAAAGCCUUCGGCUUAACCGAAGAAGUGCAUCGGAAACCGGGCGACUUGAGUGCAGAAGAGGACAGUGGAACUCCAUGUGUAGCGGUGGAAUGCGUAGAUAUAUGGAAGAACACCAGCGGCGAAGGCGGCUGUCUGGUCUGCAACUGACGCUGAGGCUCGAAAGCAUGGGUAGCGAACAGGAUU
rnacentral:rRNA from 1 species